AUACUUACCUGGAAGGGGUGAUACCAUGAUCAUGAAGGUGGUUUUCCCAGGGGAGACUUAUCCAUUGCACCCCAGAUGUGCUGACCCUUGUGACUCCCCAGAUGUGGGAAACUCCACUGCAUGGUUUAUGGUAGUGGGAGACUGUGUUCUUGCUCUCCCCUG
ensembl:snRNA U1 U1 spliceosomal RNA